GACGAACGCUGGCGGCGUGCUUAACACAUGCAAGUCGAGCGGUAAGGCCCUUUCGGGGGUACACGAGCGGCGAACGGGUGAGUAACACGUGGGUGACCUGCCCUCAGCUCUGGGAUAAGCCUGGGAAACCGGGUCUAAUACUGGAUAUGACUCCAUGACGCAUGUUGUGGGGUGGAAAGCCUUGUGCGGCUGAGGAUGGGCCCGCGGCCUAUCAGCUUGUUGGUGGGGUGANGGCCUACCAAGGCGACGACGGGUAGCCGGCCUGAGAGGGCGACCGGCCACACUGGGACUGCGACACGGCCCAGACUCCUACGGGAGGCAGCAGUGGGGAAUCUUGCGCAAUGGGCGAAAGCCUGACGCAGCGACGCCGCGUGAGGGAUG
rnacentral:rRNA from 1 species